rnacentral:rRNA from 27 species
UAAACGACUCUCGGCAACGGAUAUCUCGGCUCUCGCAUCGAUGAAGAACGUAGCGAAAUGCGAUACUUGGUGUGAAUUGCAGAAUCCCGUGAACCAUCGAGUCUUUGAACGCAAGUUGCGCCCGAAGCCUUCGGGUUGAGGGCACGCCUGCCUGGGCGUCACGC